AGCCGACUCCAGGAGGUGGCGAAGUAGGGUCUUGAGAAGAGUCUCAGAAUGGACAGGCUUGAAGUCACUAUGGAGCUGUACUUUGUACUUUGGUUGUCUCGACUCCGUCUCCCUCGUGCUGGGAUUACAGAACACUCAGCCUCCGGCGAGAGUUGGAGAGGAAGCGCUCUCAGACCAUCACGGGUGUGCCUGGAUGCAGGUGCAGUCUCCCAUCCUGAACAGUUCUUAACCUGGGGAUGAAGGACCGCCUACUUAUUUAUUGAAAGUACACAUUCUUUUUUCAAAGAUUUAUUUAUUAUAUGUAAGUACAGUGUAGCUGUCUUCAGAUGCUCCAGAAGAGGGCAUCAGAUCUCAUUACGGGUGGUUGUGAGCCACCAUAUGGUUGCUGGGAUUUGAACUCAGGACCU
ensembl:antisense Gm29443 predicted gene 29443